rnacentral:lncRNA from 1 species
UGCGAGUUUGUGGCAGGGUGGCGGGUGUCGCAGGGAGGUUGGCAGGGUGGCUGUGUGUCUCAGGGAGGUUGGCAGGGUGGCUGUGUGUCUCGAGGAAGGUUGGCAGGGUGGCUGUGUGUCUCAGGGAGGUUGGCAGGGGGGCUGUGUGUCUCAGGGAGGUUGGCAGGGGGGCUGUGGGUUUUCAGGGAGGUGUGGCAG